CCAUGACUUUAAUCAUUUCCUCACCAGAACUUCAAUUAUGCCAAGCACUUUUUAAUUAUCCUGUGGCCCACAAGUCUAUUCUUAGUAAAAGUCUGAUUUUAUGGAGGCAGUCUUCUCCUCUGUGGCAAAAAUCAACUCACCACUUAGCAACUCCACCCAUGAAAAAGCCCUGUGAAUUAAAAGCUACUAAAUUAAGUGUGUAUUUUUAACAGCUUCAAUUUUGAAGUCUGUUUUGGCAUAAAAGUUGAAGACUUUUUUUUGAAGUACAAAAAUGCUAUGUUGGCAUUUCCUGGUAUUUUCAGAAUGCAAUUUGUUUUUUGGGUUGUCCCUUUUACAAAGUUAGUUUCUUAUAACAUCAAUUUUUUUUUUCUAAGGGGAAUAUAUGUAAUCAACUUGCCCUAUCACUUUGUCUUUUUUAUCUUAUUUUAAAAAAGCAAAUUCUGAACCAAGAAGAACAAUGAAAUAAAAAGAAUUUCUGUGUGAGGCAGGGCUGUAGGAUAGGAGGAGAAGGUUUGGGGGCACAGGGGGAAGCAGAGGAAUCACAGAGCUGAAGUGUAAAUGGGCUCAGUGUUUCCUGCACAGAUCAAAACCUGGAACAGAAAUCUAGAAAUUAAGAAAAAGUAAGGCACGUAGAAUUAUUAUGCUUUUUACUAUUUUCAUUUCAUAGUAAUGGAAAAUCUGUUUUUCCCAAUUAAUACAAACACAAUACAAAGUCAUUUUAGGAAAUGCUUGUAUAAGGCUAAUGCUUAUAAGAUAUAUUAAACACUAGUAUAUAAUACAUUCAUUCAAGAAAUAAUAAGGACCUGCUAUGUACAGGGCCCUGUACUUCUCUUGUGUUACAGUAUAGCUCCAAUAAAUGAUUGUAUUAUGAUCCACCCUCCCAAAAAUGUGGUGUUCAAAAGCUGAACUUAGGAAACGUGACACAUACUGUGCCCUCAGUCAACACCUGUUUUCCUUGUUUUUCCCUGCUGUCAUCUAUUAUAGAGGUUGGAAUAUCUAAAAGUUCCCCAGUUUGCCUUACAAAUAAAAGUUGCUUGACAAGGUUCUGGCCAAUGAGAUGUAAAGAGAAAGUCACUGAUACCACACAGUCUCUUUCUAGUAUGCUCUGGAAGUGCUGCUUCAUUCACCCCAGGUGGUGGAGCUGAGAAGCCAGAAGACUCUUUGAAGGUGCUCUUGACCUACUGUACUAACUGUGGACCUCCUACUCGGGACUUCUUAUGGCAUAAAAUAUACACUCCUCUUCCUUGUUUAAAUGACCAUUUGCUGGGUUUCUGUUACUCUUGGCUGCAUGAGUUACUGACUCAGGAAAAAAAUUUGGCAAUAAGCAUGACAGUGGUCUUCAUAUUCCAAAUUGUGAUGAACAGUGUCUAAGACGGCCCACAAUGAUCCCCACCUCCUUCUCCGCCUUGUGUAGUUCCUCUUCCACUCUCUACCAGGGUCAGUUUCUGUGACCAAUAGGAAGUGGCAGAAGUGAGGGUUGUUGCUUCUGAAGUUAUAAAAGGUUACAUAUGCUGGGGUGCUCUCUCUCUGAUUCUUUGCUCUGGGGAAGUCAGCUACCAUGUUAUGUGAGCAGCUCUAUGGAAAGGUCCACAUCGUACAAAACUGGAGCCUCCUGCCAACAGGAGCUUGGAAGCUGACUCUGUGGUCCCUUCAGAUGAUGGCCAUCUCACAAGAGACCCUGAGACAAAGCCACCUAGUGGUGCCCCUUUCAGAUUCCUAACCCUCAAUAGUAAAUGUUUGUUGUUUUAAGCCACUAAAUUUUAGGGUGAUUUAUUACUUAGCAAUAGAGAACUAAGAAACAAAUGGAUUGAUUAUAGUAUCUAAAUGAUGUGCUUUAAAAAUACUCAAUUUAAAAAUAUUUUAUAGUUCUUUAAUAACACAUUUUGGUAUAGGAAAUGGAUAUAUCCUAUAUAUAUAUUGGUAACAUUUUUCAUAUUGAAAUAUAUGUCCUCAUAUGUUUGCUAUUAAAACUUUUUUGGCCUUCUUAAUGUUUAGGUGCUAUUUACUGACUAAUUGAAUAUGUGAUCUAGAUAGUGUUCUUUAUAUGAGUCAGAAAAUAUCCCAGCUUUCAUGGAAUUGCUACUCUGGUGUGGGAGGCAAAUAAUCGAACAAGUAAACAAAUAAGACAGUUUUAUAUAGGGCUGAUCAUUGGGAAGGAGAUAAAACCAUUAAAUGAUAGACUCAGGAUGAAGAUGGCUGGAUUUUGGAGAGAGUGACUUAUGCUAGGAGGGAACAUUGUUACUGAAAUCUGAAUGCUUAGAAGAGGCCAGAAAUGUAAAGGUUAUUCCAAGCAGAGCAUGCAGAGAGUGCAGAGGCUAGGAGGUGGGAAUUCUUAGCUUGCUUAAGCAAUUGAAGUAAGGCCAUUAUGGCUGAACCACAAUGAAUGAAGGAGAAUAGGAGGAGGGCCUGGUUCCUUGAAGGUGGCUUCUUAUUGCUAGAAACAAAGUAGGAGGGCCAAGCUUUGUAGGACACAGUAAGAAGUUCAAUGAAAGCCACUGGAGAGUUCUAAGCAGGGCAACAUCAUGAUUUGUGUAUUGACAACAAUCUGUGAGGCUGCUGGGUGCAGGAUAGAUAAUAGGGCAAGAGGAUGGAGAACAACUAGGAGGCAGUUGUGCUUAGCAUAUAUAGAAACUGUAUGAGUGAGUGUGUGAUAAGUGAAUGAAUGAAUAUGUCAGAGUCAAUCAAGAAUGACUAUAGUUUGGGUCAGUGUGAUGGCAGUGGAGGUGCAAUCAUGUGGACAGAUUUGCACUAUAUUUUGGAAGUAGAAACAGUAGAAGAACUUGAUAAUGCUUUGGAAAUUUGCAUCUGGAAAGGCAGUGAGGGAAAAAGCAGACUCAAGAAAAAAUAACUCCCACCAUUCUGAUUUAAGCAAUUGGGUAGAUGAACAUGCAUUUAUAAGUUGAGCAAGGACUGCGUGGGAGUAUAUUUGGGAGACAAAAGCUUUUGUUGGUUUUGAAAUAUCUGAUAUUUUCAUGUGAAGAUUGUAAUCAGAGAACUCAACUGGGUAUUUGACUACGUUGCUUAUAAGAGGGGUCAGGGCUAGAGAAAUACAUUGAGGAGCUGUCAUCAAUUUCUCAGAGAUUCAUAGUGCAGGCUAAUUUAUACAGGCUUUCAAAAUCAAGCUUCAUUGGCUGUGAAAUCUCGUCAUGCUAAAGGGAGCCAACAGACUGAGAUAAAAAUAUAUAGAUGCUAUUUAGAUCAUGCCACUGGAUGAGGUAUAGCUCUAGAAGAAGACAGAGCUAGUGGAGCUUAAGGGCGCUACAGCAUCACAACAAUGCUUUAACUUUGAUACCAUCAAAAUUGACGUCACUUUAGAAAAUGUUCUGAAUAGUUUCCAGGUCUUUGUAGAGCUCUCUUUUUUUCAAGGAAAUUGACAGAAUUUUGUAUCUUGGCUUAGCACUCUCUCCAGCAUUAGUCAUGUGGCUUUCUGUGUCUUCUUAGAAAUAAUAGUUCUCAUUUCUGGGAUUGUAGAUGGUUUUCUUGAAUUUAUUUUUAAAAUGUGUGGUAUUUUCAUAGAAAAGUAAUGCAGUAAUGUACCACUGGUACGGCACAUUGAUUAGACAUGCUUUUACUUCUUAAUACACCCAGUGUACAAAAAGGGAUCACAAGAGAAAAACAAAAGAAUUCUGCUACUCAAGAUCUUACAACACUGUGUGAUACGUAUCUGUUAGCAAUAAUAGGAAGCUACUUCACACUUCUGCAGUGAUCUGAAAACUGUCAGAUGCCUUUGAACUUGCCAUGUCUGCAUGCAGCUCCUGCACUUAUUUGAGUUACAUGAGGUUGCAUGUUCUUAUUGAGAGUUAAGAGUUCUCAUUUGAAAGUGGUCCAGUCUUGCAAAACUCUAACGAUGAAAGUAUCUCACUUACUGGAAGGCAAUGUAGAUGUCUGGGUCACCAAUUGAGAAUAAGUGACUUCGUGGAUGUUAAGCACCAAUAAGAGGCAGUUUCAGAUGGCUGGCCAGCUACCUCACACAGGAAUCUAAGACAGGAAGGCUGCAGUCAUGUGCAAUUUAAUGGCAAGUCUAGUAAGGAUGAUAAUUUCAAAGUAGUGAUGAAAGUAAAUGAUAUUUGGAGAUAUCUCCAAUAACAGUAAUAAGAGAUUAAAAUAUCCGUGGUUACUAUUGGUGACAAGGUGACUUGUUCUGCUCCUACAAUGGUGAUUUGCUGUCUACAUUCACAAUGAAAGGAAAGGCUAAAUGUCAGUUAGAAGUUUAAUGAAAAUAGGCUGGGCGUGGUGGCUCAUGCCUGUAAUCUCAGCACUUUGGGAGGCUGAGGCAGGCCGAUCACUUGAGGUCAGGAGUUUGAGACCAGCCUUGUCAACAUGGUGAAACCCCGUCUCUACUGAAAAUACAAAAAUUAGCCAGGCGUGGUGCCGGGUGCCUGUAAUCCCACCUACUUGGCAGGCUGAGGCAGGAGAAUCGCUUGAACCCGGGAGGCAGAGGUUGCAGUGAGCCAAGAUUGAACCACUGCACUCCAGCCUUGGGAACAGAGUGAGACUCCGUCUCAAAAAAAAAAAAAAAAGAAAUUUAGAAAAAAUAAAGAUGUGAUUUACUUUUCCCAUCCAUGUUUAUGCAUGCAUUUGCGGACCCCAGGUAAGAGCCCCUGGUUUAAGUGGAAAUUAAAGUAAUAUGCCUGAGUUAACAUGCUGUAGUUUGAGGGGAUCACUAUUCAUCUUUUCACUAUUUAUCUUUUCUUCCCCACCUGAUUUUAGGACAAACUGAGAGUAAAAGAUGCAGGAAUAAAACACAGAAAUCAAAAUAAAGGGUUUACUGCUGAAAAAUCCGCUUGAACAAGCCUGUUAAUGUGAUCUUCCUGAAUGAAGCCAGCUUACCCCUAGGCCUCCACUGUCCCUCAGGAAAGAGAACACGAAAACUGGAACUCUCUGCAGAAAGGAGGAUCCCAAAGAAGGGGCCAAGCUGUACAUUUAUCAAUCAGGAAAGCCACUCCACCCUCCAUGGCAGCCCCUACAAUUUGAAACAAGUAUUCUUCCUAACAUAACACAUUAAUUCAUGAGUUUAUCAGUUCAUUUCAUUUUUACUUUGAGAUUUUUGUGAAUAACCAUAGAAAAAUCUAUUUCACCUGGCAAUAAAUAGGAAAAGGCACAGCAUAAUGUUUAAAUACAGAGAAUAUUGUUACAUGUAAGAUGUUGAUUGAAUGUUCUAAAUACAAUUUGAAAACUGCGUGAGAGGAGGAAAACGUAUAUUCAGAAGGACUUAGGUGAAUCCAGAUGAAUAUUUUCAUGACAGGAUGUUGGCUAUUGAUAUGAAGAAAGUAGAGGAAUAGACUUGCUAAAAGUUAGAGGAGUCUAGUUUAUCUUCCAAGAAGCUUUGCAACCCUGUAAUACUGUAGAAAUCACAAAUUUGGCAAUAAUUUUAAGAUAAUUUAUGUUCAUUUUUUAUGGAAUGCCAUGUUUAUCUUUUUAUAUAUGACAUUUUCUGGUCAGUAGUAAUAUAUAUAUCCUUUAUUAAAAUUGGAAAAUAAAUACAAACAUUUUAUUUAUUUAUUGGUUAAAAAAUUAUUAUGCUCAUUCUUUUUUUUUUUAACCAGUAAGGAUCUGGAUAAAGAAAAACAUUUUAGAAAACCACUUGUAGAGUACCAUGAACCAGUCUCUCUUCUCCAUUUUAAAAAAUUUAUUGACUCACUUUUUUUCCAUAACUUUUUGAGAUAUUAUUUCAACCACUUUGCAUUUAGAGAAAAAGAGUCAGAGAGUGAUUAAGAAAUCUGCCCAAUGCUAUACUGAUAGAAGCUGGGAGAACUGGGAUUUGAGCUUACAUAGGCUAGUUCUAGCAUUUGUGAAGUUCUCGCCUAAUAAAAAUUAUCUGUAAUCAUAACCAGAGCAAGUCAUUUCUAACCUCCUGUCUAUAGACACGCGGAUACAUUUGUAAUGUUUUUGUUUGUUUGUUUUUAGCACGACAGAUCAAUUCCUGCUGGCAUUAUAGUUCUUUAACUAUCAUAGCUUCUCUGAUUUUUCAACACAUCUGUCAUCCGUAUUCUGCAGGCAUAGCCAACUCUGUCAGUGUCUCCUCAGGCAAUCAGAAUCAACAGACAGAAUGUAGGACAGAAAACUGGCUGCAAACAUGUUGGAAGGGCUGGAGGAGCGAAAGAGGGAAGAUCUGUUACCUAGAGAUAGUAACUUCCAGAAGUUACCACUAUACUAGUGCAGGAGAAGCAGAAAGGAAGAUGCUGCUACCCAGAGCCCACAGUCAUUGUGCCCCUGAUGCCGCUGGAACCCCACUGCAGCUGCUUUACAGGAAGCAGGGAAUUAGCGCUCUUGCUGAUGCUACAGGUAUCCAGGAUCCAAAAGUCAUCAGCCGCUGUCCCUGUUGCAGCCUAGGGAAACUGUCCCACUGAGGUUGUUGGGGUACCUGCUACUGCAUCUACUGUCUGAACCAUGUUGCCUGAGCAGAUGUCCAGGGCUCAGGCUUGCCUGCUGCUGUUACUGCUGCCACCAUGUUUAUCAGAGCUACUUCAAGAAGAGAAGAAAUCCUCCUCAUUUCCAGUUUUUUCCAGUGCCUCCCAUUGCUUCCCAGAAUGCCAAAUUCUCUUUGAGAGACAGCUGAAAGGAAGGUUUGGAAAAGACUCUGGUGUAAGCAGAUUCUGCUUCCCUGCAAUAGGGGGAAAGCAUAGGGUGGAACUGGAGCUGAGAGCUAAUCACGAAUGAGCAAAUCAGUCUUCAAGACAUUUACCUUUCCUUGAAACGUUUCCCUUCUUUUACCGUGUUUUCCAUGUCAUUAUUUUUCCACAAUUCUGCAUCAUAUUCUGUUAACUAUUAAUGCCCUGGAUAAGUUUAUUUGCUCUUUCUUAGGGUUAAUUUUUCUCCUUUUCUUCGAAGCUUUAGUUUGCAGGUUCAGCUUGUGUGGGAAUUUUCAUCUCCCUCCUCUUCAAGACUCCUUGGAUAUCAGUUUUUUGGUUGCCUUCACCAACUCUCCCCCCACCAUCUCUAGACCAGGGCAUGGUCUUAGUUGGUGGCUUGGACUCCUGUGGCUUGGAGUCUUUGGGGAUAUUAGAGAUCCAGUCACUGAGCUGGCAAAGGGAACACUGUCCUUGCUUCCAGCUUUAUGAAGAACGCUUUGCUCUGUCACCCCACGUAAAUAAUCAUGUUAUUCAAGGAUAAUGAAUGCAGCCACCAUGUAAUCAUCACUGACUCCAUGAGACAGCGUCUCUCACUGUCACCUAGGCUGGAGUGCAGUAGCAUGAUCAUAGCUCACUGCAGCCUUGGACUUCUGGGCUCAAGCUGUUCUCC
rnacentral:lncRNA from 1 species